CUGCCCGAGCUCCUCACCCAGGCCCCCUCAGAGACCAGCCUCAGCCAAACCAGACACUCGGCCCCUGAGCAGUUCGACCCUUCAGCUCUGCACUGUCUGAGCCACAGCCUGGAGCCCAAGUGGAAUCUGACUGUUUCUCUCUUCUCUCUCUCUCUCUCUGCCUGCUCGUAAGCAGUGAAAUAAUCAUUUUUAAUUACCUUUUCUUCCAUUUUUUCUCCUCUUUUCCAUUUAUUUAAAAUAUCCAUUUUAUUGUUCUCUGCCUCUUUCUCUAUUUUUUCGGCUCGUGUGGUUUUUUGUUUUUUCUUCUUCUUCUUCUUUUUUUCCUUUUUUUUUUCUUCUUUUUCUGUUUCUUCCCCCCACCUUUCCCCUCACCCUUUUGGUUCUCUGCCCCACCCACCCGUCCUGUUUUUUGUUUUUGGUGCUGCCAGGGGUCGCAUGCCUUACCCGGACAUGUAUCAGAUGCUGAGACACAUGUCCCCGCCCCUGGGUCUUGGGAAGAAGUGCCCGGCCAGAGUGGCUUACAAGGUAGUCUAUCUUUGCCAACACCGAUGUCCCGGAGCUGGGGACUUUUCGGUGGUGACUACAACACCCAGCGAGUCUUCUGCCGACGUUCCUCUUCUUUU
rnacentral:lncRNA from 1 species